UGGGGAAUAUUGGACAAUGGGCGCAAGCCUGAUCCAGCAAUACCACGUGAGUGAUGAAGGCCUUCGGGUUGUAAAACUCUUUUAGUAGGGAAGAUAAUGACGGUACCUACAGAAAAAGCACCGGCUAACUUCGUGCCAGCAGCCGCGGUAAUACGAAGGGUGCUAGCGUUGUUCGGAAUCAUUGGGCGUAAAGCGUGCGUAGGCGGUUUAGUAAGUCAAAUGUGAAAGCCCAGAGCUUAACUUUGGAAUUGCAUUUGAAACUAUUAAACUAGAGUGUGGCGGGGGAUAGUGGAAUUCUUAGUGUAGGGGUGAAAUCCGUAGAUAUUAAGAGGAACACCGGUGGCGAAGGCGACUAUCUACACCAUUACUGACGCUGAGGCACGAAAGCGUGGGGAGCAAA
rnacentral:rRNA from 1 species